AUAAGUUAUCGUUUAUUUGAUAUUGCCUAUCCUACAUGGAUAACAGUGGUAAUUCUAGAGCUAAUACAUGCUGAAAAUCCCGACUUCGGAAGGGACGUAUUUAUUAGAAUCAGAACCAAUGCCCUUCGGGGUUUUCUGGUGACUCAUGAUAACUCCACAGAUCGCAUGGCCUUGCGCCGGCGAUGGCUCAUUCAAAUUUCUUCCCUAUCAACUUUCGACGGUACGGUCUUGGCCUACCGUGGUUGUAACGGGUGACGGAGGGUUAGGGCUCGACCCCGGAGAAGGAGCCUGAGAAACGGCUACUACAUCCAAGGAAGGCAGCAGGCGCGCAAAUUAUCCAAUCCCGACUCGGGGAGAUAGUGACAAUAAAUACCGAUACAGGGCUCUUUUGGGCCCUGUAAUUGGAAUGAGUACAAUUUAAACUUCUUAACGAGGAACAAUUGGAGGGCAAGUCUGGUGCCAGCAGCCGCGGUAAUUCCAGCUCCAAUAGCGUAUAUUAAAGUUGUUGUGGUUAAAAAGCUCGUAGUCGAACCUCGAGCCUGGCCGGCCGGUCCGCCUCACCGCGUGCACUGGUCUGGCCGGGCUCUUCCCUCUGCGGAACCGCAUGUCCUUCACUGGGCGUGUCGGGGAGGCAGGACUUUUACUUUGAAAAAAUUAGAGUGCUCAAGGCAGGCCAAUGCUCGAAUACAUUAGCAUGGAAUAAUAGAAUAGGACGUUGGUUCUAUUUUGUUGGUUUCUAGGACCGCCGUAAUGAUCAAUAGGGACGGUCGGGGGCAUCAGUAUUCAGCCGUCAGAGGUGAAAUUCUUGGACCGGCUGAAGACUAACUACUGCGAAAGCAUUUGCCAAGGACGUUUUCGCUGAUCAGGAACGAAAGUUAGGGGAUCGAAGACGAUCAGAUACCGUCGUAGUCUUAACCAUAAACUAUGCCGACUA
rnacentral:rRNA from 1 species